GACGAACGCUGGCGGCGUGCUUAACACAUGCAAGUCGAACGGGCCUGUCUUCUUUUUUGGGGGUGGGUUGAGUGGCGAACGGGUGAGUAUCACGUGAGUAACCUGCCCUUCGGUCCUGGAUAACCGCUUGAAAGGGCGGCCAAUACGGGGUGGUCCGGUUGGUCCGCAUGGGCUGGUCGGGAUAGAUGCACUGGUUUUGGUGUUUCGGCGGGGGAUGGGCUCGCGGCCUAUCAGCUUGUUGGUGGGGUGAUGGCCUACCAAGGCGGUGACGGGUAGCCGGCCUGAGGUGGUGGGCGGCCACACUGGGACUGAGAUACGGCCCAUGCUCCUGCGGGCGGCAGCCGUGGGGGGUAUUGCACAAUGGGCGGUAGCCUGAUGCAGCGACGUCGCGUGAGGGAUGGAGGCCUUCGGGUUGUGAACCUCUGUUUCCGGUGGUGAAGGCCCUGUCCGUGUGGUGGGGUUGACGGUAGCCGGGGAUGAAGCGCCGGCUAACUACGUG
rnacentral:rRNA from 1 species